rnacentral:rRNA from 1 species
UACGUAGGGGGCUAGCGUUGUCCGGAUUUAUUGGGCGUAAAGCGCGUGUAGGCGGCCCUGUAAGUCGGGUGUGAAAUCCCACGGCUCAACCGUGGAAGUGCAUUCGAAACUACAGGGCUAGAGUUCUGGAGAGGAAGGUGGAAUGCUUGGUGUAGAGGUGAAAUUCGUAGAUAUCAAGCGGAACACCGGUGGCGAAGGCGGCAUUCUGGACCGAAACUGACGCUGAGGCGCGAAAGCCAGGGGAGCAAACGGG